CAUCAGAGUGCCUAGCUUAACUACAGAACAUACUUAUAUACAAUUAAUAUGAAUAAAUUAUAUAAGUAUGUUCUGUAGUUAAGCUAGCCACUCUGGUG
rnacentral:miRNA from 1 species